rnacentral:lncRNA from 1 species
CGCCUCCCAACGUUACGUCCCUCCUGGGCAAGGGAUUGAUCCUUGUAGAAGGCACGGAAUGGGUGAGGCAUCGAAGGGUCGUCGGCCCUGCUUUCCACAUGGAGAAGCUCAAGGUCAGCUUCCCAUAUCUCUUCUAUGACCUCAAUUUGAUGUCUGGUCUGGCCUAGCUGAUGGUGUAAUUUACUGUAAUUGGAUCAGAAAUCAAAUUGCAUGUUUCUUUUGGACCUUUCGUAUCGAUUAACACAAAGAACUCGUUGCUUGUUGUAGAUACUCACAAAGACAACGGCAGAAUGCGCUAAGGCAAUGUUAGAAGGUUGGGAAGCAGAGUAUCAGCAGAAGGAAAUAGACGUGUCUGCACAAUUUCAAGAACUGGCAGUAGAUUUGAUCUCUCAAGCCACUUUCGGAAGCAGCUUCACGGAAG